UGCUGGGAUUACAUGUGUGAGCCACUGAGCCCAGCCUGCCAUCUGGUUUUCUCAUGUCACCAAGUGAAUACAAGACCUGUGCCAACAGGACCCAGCAUGAUGUAAUCCUCAUGGUGUUUCUUUUUCUCUUAUUGCAGGAGAAGCCAGCGGCCCAGUAUCACCGCCGUCCUGUUAAGGUCUUACAAGACCUUGUCAUAGAAGACAUAGAGGAUGAGGAGCUGUUCCCUGAUGUGGUAAGAUGCAUUUCUUUGUCUCAAAAGGAAAUUUUUAUUUCGGGGGCCUCUAGAAUAUCAAGUGAAUGUUAUUUUUGACUGCCAUUGUGAAUCAGACCUCAGUUGUCAUGGACUCUAGCAACCAUUCAGUGGAGUUUCUGACCAACUGAGGCCUGAUUGACGAUGUCAGUCAAAAUAUGGCAUAACUUACAAUCUGGUCGUGGGCAUAUUUCUCAGUAACAACAUUUCCUUCUUGAAAAAUAAUUUUGUAUUUUUCAGCCAGCAUAGAUACUUGCUAAAUAUUCCAAACCCACUGCAUUUUCUGCAAGGAUUCCCUGUGCUCCAUUAGGGGCCGGUGACUUCAUCACUGUUUGACAUCUGUUGUCUUUGUUUAGUUUUGUUUUUGAGACAGAGUUUCUCUGUCACCAGGCUACAGUGCAGUGGUGUGAUCUCAGAUCACUGCAGCGUCCUCCUACUGCAUUCAAGCAAUUCUCCUGCCUCGUCUCCUGAGUAGCUGGGACUGAAGGCUCUCACCACAACCACACCCACUUUUUUGUAGUGUUUAGUAGAAACGGGGUUUCACCAUGUUGGCCAGGAUGGUCUCAAUCUCUUGCCCUCAUGAUCUGCCCGCCUCAGCCUCCCAACAUGCUGGGAUUACAUGUGUGAGCCACUGAGCCCAGCCUGCCAUCUGGUUUUCUCAUGUCACCAAGUGAAUACAAGACCUGUGCCAAC
rnacentral:lncRNA from 13 species